GUAAGGAAUAUUGGACAAUGGGGGAAACCCUGAUCCAGCCAUGCCGCGUGAGUGAAGAAGGCCUUCGGGUUGUAAAGCUCUUUCAGAUGUGAAGAUGAUGGCGGUAACAUCAGAAGAAGCUCCGGCUAACUUCGUGCCAGCAGCCGCGGUAAUACGAAGGGAGCGAGCGUUGUUCGGAAUCACUGGGCGUAAAGAGUGCGUAGGCGGUUAUACAAGUCAGGAGUGAAAUCCCAGGGCUCAACCCUGGAAUUGCUUUUGAAACUGUAUAGCUAGAGUCCCGGAGGGGUUAAUGGAAUUCCGAGUGUAGAGGUGAAAUUCGCAGAUAUUCGGAGGAACACCAGUGGCGAAGGCGAUUAACUGGACGGGCACUGACGCUGAGGCACGAAAGCGUGGGGAUCAAACAGGAUUAGAUACCCUGGUAGUCC
rnacentral:rRNA from 1 species